CAGCCGCCGCGGUAAUACGUAGGUGGCAAGCGUUGUCCGGAAUUAUUGGGCGUAAAGGGCUCGCAGGCGGUUUCUUAAGUCUGAUGUGAAAGCCCCCGGCUCAACCGGGGAGGGUCAUUGGAAACUGGGAAACUUGAGUGCAGAAGAGGAGAGUGGAAUUCCACGUGUAGCGGUGAAAUGCGUAGGGAUGUGGAGGAACACCAGUGGCGAAGGCGACUCUCUGGUCUGUAACUGACGCUGAGGAGCGAAAGCGUGGGGAGCGAACAGGAUUAGAUACCCCAGUAGUCCCUGUCUCUUAUAA
rnacentral:rRNA from 1 species